AUGGCCAUCUUCGAUGAAUUCUAUGUUGGCUCCAUUGACCUGGGUCGCCUCAACUACGGGAUCAUAUCUCUCAUCCCCAAGGUCCCUGGGGCGUCCGACAUCCGUCAGUUCCGCCCGAUCACGGUGAUUAAUGUGAUCUUCCAGAUCUUGGCCAAAGGGUACGCCAAUAGGGUGACCCUGUUGGCGGACCGGGUGACCCAUCCUAACCAGUCGGUCUUCAUUAAGGGCCGAUACAUCCUGGAUGGAGUUCUUGUCCUUCAUGAAGUCCUUCAUGAGGUCCGUGUCAAACGCCUUAAGGUGGUUUUUCUGAAGAUUGAUUUACACAAGGCAUACGAUACAGUUAGCUGGACCUUUCUCAGGGAAGUCCUUCUUCGGAAGGGCUUCGAUGACCGGUGGAUCACUAGAGUCAUGCAAAUGGUCUCUUGCGGUCGCACGGCGGUCAACAUCAACGGCGAGAUUGGCCCUUUCUUCCCCACCCUUUGUGGGGUUCGUCAACGCGACCCCUUCUCCCCUUUUCUGUUCAAUAUGGUAGUUGACGCUCUUGCCUCCAUCCUUGAUAAGGCAAAAGCCGCUGGCCAUAUUCAUGGGAUUACCCCCCACCUUUCCGGGGGCUCUGGGAUCUCCAUCCUCCAGUAUGCUGACGACACGAUCAUCAUGGUCGAAGGCUCGGAGAUGGACAUCGCCAACCUCAAGUUCCUCCUUCUCUGCUUCCAACAGAUGUAA
rnacentral:rRNA from 1 species